AACGCACAUUGCACUCUCUGGUAUUCCGGAGAGUAUGCCUGUUUCAGUAUCAUGAGCACUCUCACACCUAACCUUUGGGGAUAAAGUGUGGAAUUGGGAUGCGCCAGUUUGCAAAGAUUGGCCCUCUUAAAAUUCAGUUCUUGGCUGUUUUCAAUAUGAGCAGUUUGGCCUAAUAGUUUUGGCUCUUUUGUCAAAUCUUUGGCUUCAUUCGCUUCUGAAAAUCAGUCUUGAUAUACAGAAAACUCAUUCAAAUUUUGAUCUGAAAUCAGGUAGGGCUACCCGCUGAACUUAA
rnacentral:misc_RNA from 1 species